UACGUAGGGGGCAGGCGUUGUCCGGAAUCAUUGGGCGUAAAGCGCGUGUAGGCGGCCCGGUAAGUCCGCUGUGAAAGUCGGGGGCUCAACCCUCGAAUGCCGGUGGAUACUGUCGGGCUAGAGUGCGGAAGAGGCGAGUGGAAUUCCUGGUGUAGCGGUGAAAUGCGCAGAUAUCAGGAGGAACACCAAUUGCGAAGGCAGCUCGCUGGGACGUGACUGACGCUGAGACGCGAAAGCGUGGGGAGCAAACAGG
rnacentral:rRNA from 1 species